CCCUGUAUCGAAAGUGACUAUGGUGUGACUGUUGCCAGGUCAUUGAUAGUACAGGGAUAUUGAGCUGAGAGCAUUUCCCGUGUUUGUUGGAAUAUUCCUGUCAAACCCUGUAUCUCUCAAACA